GAUGAACGCUAGCGGCAGGCUUAAUACAUGCAAGUCGAGGGGCAGCACGAAUAGCAAUAUUUGGUGGCGACCGGCGCACGGGUGCGUAACACGUAUACAACCUACCUAUAACAGGGGGAUAGCCUUUCGAAAGAGAGAUUAAUACCCCGUAAUAAAUUGAGUGGCAUCACUUGACUUUGAAAGCUACGGCGGUUAUAGAUGGGUAUGCGUCUGAUUAGCUAGUUGGUGAGGUAACGGCUCACCAAGGCGACGAUCAGUAGGGGAUCUGAGAGGACUAACCCCCACACUGGUACUGAGACACGGACCAGACUCCUACGGGAGCAGCAGUAAGGAAUAUUGGUCAAUGGAGGCAACUCUGAACCAGCCAUGCCGCGUGCAGGAUGACGGCCCUAUGGGUUGUAAACUGCUUUUGUACCAGAGAAAACCUACUCACGUGUGAGUAGCUGAUAGUAUGGUAAGAAUAAGCAUCGGCUAACUUCGUGCCAGCAG
rnacentral:rRNA from 1 species